GUCUAUGGCCACACCACUUUGAAUGUGCCCUAUCUUGUCUGAUCUUGGGAGCUAAGCAGGGUCAGGCCUGGUUAAUACUCAAAUGGUCAUUAGGGGCUCCAUGCUAGAGAUCAAAGGUACAGAUGGCGUCAUAGUUC
rnacentral:rRNA from 1 species